rnacentral:rRNA from 1 species
GAUGAACGCUGGCGGCGUGCCUAAUACAUGCAAGUCGAGCGAACAGACGAUGAUCUUGCGCCUCUGACGUUAGCGGCGCACGUGUGAGUAACACGUGGAUAAUCUCCCUAUAAUACUGGUAUCACUACGGAAAACCGGAUCUUAUAGCGUAGGAGCUAUUGCACCGCAUUGUUCGAUAGUGAAAUACGGUGUUUCUGUCACGUAUAGCGGCAUCCGCGCCGCAUUAGCUAGUUGGUAAGGUAACGGCUUACCAAGGCAACGAUGCGUAGCCGACCGGAGAGGGUGAUCGGCCACCUGGGAACGGAGACACGGUCAAGAGUACUAAGGGAGGCAGCAGUAGGGAAUCUUAGGCAAUGGGCGAAAGCAUGACGGAGCAACGCCGCGUGAGUGAUGAAGGUCUUCGGAUCGUAAAACUCUGUUAUUAGGGAAGAACAAAUGUGUACGUAGCUAUGCACGUCUUGACGGUAACUAAUAAGAAAGCCCCGGCUAACUACGUG